UCAGUGACUCCCCACUGGACCGUAGUCCGCAGCAGAGGCAGAGCGAGGCCAAAGCGUGCACGGUACACCACUACACCGUGCACUACAGUGAGUCCGGAGCGGAGUCAUCUACCCCCCGACUCGAUUCGUGACGAGAUCUCUCUCCUCCGAAUUCCUCGAUCGAUUCGUGUCGAAAAACCCCAGCCCCUCCCCACCGCCCCCCCCCGUCGGAAUCCCGAAUCCAUCCCCGAUGGCGCAAGGCACCGUGCCCUCCGCAGCCGGGGCCGGCGGCGGCGGCUGCCCCUCGGCCCCCGCCGUCUCGACGACUCCUCCGGGCACGCCCCGGGCUGCCCCGCCUCCGCCAUCUACCUUCGCGACCGGAUUCUACUACGCCGUGGAGCUCUAUUUCGACCCGGCGCUGGAGAACCAGGUGCUCAAAGCGUGGAACGCGCUGGCGCGGCGGCAGCUAGGCAGCCGCCUCAUCGACGCUGCCGCCCGCCCGCACCUCCCGCUGCUCCACCUCCCCGCCGCCGCGCUCCCGCCUCCUGGCACCGGCGCGGGCGGGGAUCCGCUCCUCCGCCUCGCACCCUCGCUCCGCGCGCUCGCGUCGCGCCUCGACCCGCUCGCGCUCGCGCUCUCCUCGCUCGCCGCGCUCCCAGCCUCCGCCUCCUCCUCCCCGCACGACAACGUUCUCUUCCUCGCGCCCACUCCAACCGCCGCGCUGCUCGGCCUCCAUGCGCAGCUCUGCGAGCUGCUGCGGAAGGACGCUGGCGUCGAGGUCCCCGACGCGUUCCGGCCCGACCACUGGCUACCGCGGUGCGCCGUCGCCGUCGACGUGCCCCGCGGCCGCAUGGCGGAGGCCUUCUGCGUGCUCCGAGAGCUCAAGCUGCUUCCCGUCUCCGGGUACGGGAUGGACAUCGCGCUCGUCGAGGUCGGGGCCACCGUUAGGGAGCUCGUGUCCUACCCGCUCGGCGGUGGCAGCAGCGCUGGAGCGGACUGAGAGGUUGGCUGCGACAUGAAUACAUGAUAUGUGGAGUUUUGGCAUCUUUCUAUGUGGCAGCGGUCGCUACUAAAGUUGGGACAGGGGUCCUGUUGUAUUUUGUAUAAUAUCUAGAUCAUGGAUGAACAGCCAUACUUGACGAGGACGUAAUAGUGGGACAAUUUGCCUUCUUCUGAUGAGCUACAUUUGGAAGAAGUCUGGACCAUACUGUAUCCUCACACAUACAGUAUUUUGUUCAAUCAUUUCUUUAGUCUUUUGGUUGAUAAUGUGUUUGAUGUCCUCUCCCUCCAUUGUAGACUCUUCACGUAGUAUCACCCGUUCUCGAGUUUACUGUAAUGAAUUGUCAACUGUGUUCAUGUGCCCAGAGAACCACUCGUGCUCUCUUCAUUCGUUCGCUCAACUGAUUUGUUUACAUCCAUGUCUUGGCGCCUUCUUCUGUAGUCAUUUUUGGAAAUCUGUUGCAAUGCAUGUGUUUUCGUCCUUACUUCCUUGGCAGGCGACUGAGGAUAUAUA